rnacentral:rRNA from 1 species
GAUGAACGCUGGCGGCGUGCUUAACACAUGCAAGUCGAACGGACGAUGAAGAGCUUGCUUUUCAAAGUUAGUGGCGGACGGGUGAGUAACGCGUGGGUAACCUGCCUCAUACAGGGGGAUAGCAGCUGGAAACGGCUGAUAAAACCGCAUAAGCGCACAGCAUCGCAUGAUGCAGUGUGAAAAACUCCGGUGGUAUGAGAUGGACCCGCGUCUGAUUAGCUGGUUGGUGAGGUAACGGCCCACCAAGGCGACGAUCAGUAGCCGGCCUGAGAGGGUGACCGGCCACAUUGGGACUGAGACACGGCCCAAACUCCUACGGGAGGCAGCAGUGGGGAAUAUUGCACAAUGGGGGAAACCCUGAUGCAGCGACGCCGCGUGAAGGAAGAAGUAUCUCGGUAUGUAAACUUCUAUCAGCAGGGAAGAUAAUGACG